rnacentral:rRNA from 1 species
AUUGAACGCUGGCGGCAUGCCUUACACAUGCAAGUCGAACGGCAGCACGGGUGCUUGCACCUGGUGGCGAGUGGCGAACGGGUGAGUAAUACAUCGGAACAUGUCCUGUAGUGGGGGAUAGCCCGGCGAAAGCCGGAUUAAUACCGCAUACGAUCUACGGAUGAAAGCGGGGGACCUUCGGGCCUCGCGCUAUAGGGUUGGCCGAUGGCUGAUUAGCUAGUUGGUGGGGUAAAGGCCUACCAAGGCGACGAUCAGUAGCUGGUCUGAGAGGACGACCAGCCACACUGGGACUGAGACACGGCCCAGACUCCUACGGGAGGCAGCAGUGGGGAAUUUUGGACCCUGGGCGCAAGCCUGCUCCCGCCCUGCCGCGUGUGUGAAGAAGGCCUUCGGGUUGUAAAGCACUUUUGUCCGGAAAGAAAUCCUUGGCCCUAAUACGGUCGGGGGAUGACGGUACCGGACGAAUCAGCACCGGCUAACUACGUG